CACAGUGCUCUGUUUAGUACGAGAAUAAUGUUAGUAUCGCACUGAUGUUUUAGUUGUUGCUAAGCAGUGCUUACUUAAAUCAAGGACUUUACAGCCUCUCAUGCCCUGCCAGUGAGAAAGCUGGACAAGAAACUGGUAGGGGACACACACAGAACUGCUGACUCAAACUGGCCAAAGAGAUAUUCUGUACCGUACAACAUAAUGCUCAUUAUAUACAAACUGGGGACAAAAUUGAACAGGGCUGUGCUCAAGAGCUGGCUGGGCAUCAGUCGUUACCUUGAAGUUCCUUCUAUUGAGCCCUUUCUUCACAGCAGUGGUAGCUGGUGGUAGGGCUUCUCAGGAACAGCAAGUCUAUUCAGAAAAUUUUGCCAACAUAACUCUAGAAACUCAUGAGAAUAUGAGGAACUACCUACAUCAUUAGACCAAAGGUAGAUUAAUGCAAACUCAGAGAAGCUAGAGCAGACUGGCAAAUGGCAGAGAGGAUAGAAGACAUAAGCAAAUUUUACCUCAGCAAGCCUCUAGUCCUGCCCUGAGAUACAGGAGCUAAAUUCAACCAGAUGAGUUUUCAAAUUUCUACUGUCUGUAUUUGAAAAAGAGAAUUUAUACUUGAUUUGCUUCUGAAAUAAAAUUCAACCUGUGAAUUUCUGAGCUUUACAAGAAUUCAAGAUCAGAAGUUUCACCAACCGCUUGGUUUCACUGAUGAGAUUUCUGUGGGGAUGGUGAGGUGGAAAAGGGGAUGUGACAGAGUCACUUCAAGAUGCUCAUGA